GCGUGCCUAAUACAUGCAAGUCGAACGCACUCUCUUUUAGAUUGAAGGAGCUUGCUCCUGAUUGUUAAACAUUUGAGUGAGUGGGGGACGGGUGAGUAACACCUGGGUAACCUGCCCUAAAGUGGGGGAUAACAUUUGGAAACAGAUGCUAUAUACCGCAUAAAACCUAACACCGCAUGGUGUAGGGUCUGAAAGAUGGUUUCGGCUAUCACUUUAGGAUGGACCCGCGGUGCAUUAGUUAGUUGGUGAGGUAAAGGCUCACCAAGACCGUGAUGCAUAGCCGACCUGAGAGGGUAAUCGUCCACACUGGGACUGAGACACGGCCCAGACUCAUACGGGAGGCAGCAGUAGGGAAUCUUCCACAAUGGACGAAAGUAUGAUGGAGCAACCCCGCGUGAGUGACGAAGGUUUUCGGAUCGUAAAAAUCUGUUGUUGGAGAAGAAUGUAUAUGAUAGUUACUGAUCAGGUAGUGACGGUAUCCAACCAGAAAGCCACGGCUAACUACGUGCCAGCAGCCGCGGUAAUAUGUAGGUGGCAAGCGUUGUCUGGAUUUAUUGGGGGUAAAGCGAGCGCAGGCGGUUUCUUAAGUGUGAUGUGAAAGCUUUCGGCUCUACCGAAGAAGUGCAUCGGAAACUGGGAAACUUGAGUGCAGAAGAGGACAGUGGAACUCCAUGUGUAGCGGUGAAAUGCGUAGAUAUAUGGAAGAACACCAGUGGCGAAGGCGGCUGUCUGGUCUGUAACUGACGCUGAGGCUCGAAAGCAUGGGUAGCAAACACGAUUAGAUACCCUGGUAGUCCACGCCGUAAACGAUGAGUGGUAGGUGUUGGAGGGUUUCCGCCCCUCAUCGCCGCAGCUAACGCAUCAAGCACUCCUCCUGGGGAGGACGUUCGCAAGAAUGAAACUCACUAGGAAUAGACGGGGACCCGCACCACCGGUGGAGCAGCUGGUUUAAUUAGAAGCAACGCGAAGAACCUUCCUUCGUCUCGACAUCCCUCCGACCCGUCCUCUAAUCGGGGCUUUCCUUCGGUGACAGAGGAGACAGGCUGGUGCAUGGUUGUCGUCAGUCUCGUGUCGUGAGAUGUUGGGUUAAGUCCCGCAACGAGCGCAACCCCCAUCUUUAGUAGCCAGCAUCUGAGGUGGGCACUCUAGAGAGACUGCCGAGGGAUAGCCUCGAGGAAGGUGGGGAUGACGUCAAAUCAUCAUGCCCCUUAUGACCAGGGCUACCCCCGUGCUACAAUGGCGUAAACAAAGGGAAGCGAGCCCGCGAGGGGGAGCAAAUCCCAAAAAUCCCGUCUCAGUUCGGAUUGUAGUCUGCAACUCGCCUACAUGAAGCUGGAAUCGCUAGUAAUCGCGAAUCAGAAUGUCGCGGUGAAUACGUUCCCGGGUCUUGCACACACCGCCCGUCA
rnacentral:rRNA from 1 species